rnacentral:rRNA from 1 species
GUAGUUAGCCGGGGCUUUCUUACAGGGUACCGUCACUUCUUCGUCCCCUGCGACAGAGGUUUACAAUCCGAAAACCUUCUUCCCUCACGCGGCGUUGCUGGGUCAGGCUUGCGCCCAUUGCCCAAUAUUCCCCACUGCUGCCUCCCGUAGGAGUCUGGACCGUGUCUCAGUUCCAGUGUGGCCGAUCAGCCUCUCAGCUCGGCUACCCAUCGUCGGCUUGGUGGGCUGUUAUCUCACCAACUACCUAAUGGGACGCGAACCCCUCUAAAAGCGAUAAAUCUUUGACCUCUUCCCGAUGCCGGGUUGUGGUCUUAUGCGGUAUUAGCAGUUGUUUCCACCUGUUAUUCCCCACUCUUAGGCAGGUUGUUCACGCGUUACUCACCCGUGCGCCACUAGAAUUAUCAAUUCCAUCCGAAAACUUCCUUAAUAAUCCCCGUUCGACUUGCAUGUGUUAGGCACGCCGCCAGCGUUGUCCUGAGCCAUAAUCAAACUACUGA